UGAGUUUUGUAUUUUUGCCCUUUGACCUCCUGCUCUUGUUCCCAGAUGAACCUACACACUCUCAUCUUGGACUGGCAGAACUCUGGAGUCCACACCACCUGGAUCUCCAACCCCGCACGUCUCUCAGCCUCUCCCCUGGCCAGAACCACCUCCAGCUGCCCACCUAAACUUCCUGGACCUCCAUAAACUCAGCUCCCUCCACGUCUCGCUUCUGGAUCUCAGUCCCUGCAAGCCACUCAACUUAGACCGGACCACUCCUCCCUCAAACCAGUCCCCUCCUCUCCAGACCUUUUCCCGCACCAGCCUCCCUGUGCAAGAACUCAGCUUCGUUUACGCUGCUCCCUUGGUUUCCCUUCAAUAAAUCCUUAUUUAAACCUUUUAAA